rnacentral:misc_RNA from 1 species
GGAGGAAGAGAUAGAAACGUCCGACGAAGGAGGAGGAAGAGACAGGAACAUCAAAUUUCAAAUGACAUUGGGAAUUUUUGGUGUAAAGUGCAGGUGAAUUCGUUCAAGCCAAGACUGUAUGACUCCGAGUUUGCUUCAAGCCAGUAUUGGAGGAUACAAUCUGCUCUAGUCAUAACUAUAAACACCAGAAUUUAGUAGACAUAAUUCUGACGGGAUUUACUUAAAGCUAAGGCUAAUAUCAAGAAUUUUAUCUAACCAGAAUUAGGUAACAAUUUGCUAACGUCAGAAUUGCUACACCUUGAUCAACCCGGAAGAAAAACCCUUAAAGAACUUGAUAUAAGGAACGAACUUAAUCUAGAACUUGGUUUUGUGAAGAUCAUUAGUCAGUGUUUGCCGUAAGGAAUAUUCUGACAUGAUAUUGUGGGAUAGCAAAUAAUAUAACAAAGACUAUAAACGACUUUGUCAUGCCAUCACAAAGGAUUUAACACCUGCAAUGGCCUAUAUAAACGACUUUAAUGCCUGUAUAUGAUGCUACAACGAAAGCUUUAGUGAAGCCUUGUGUAUAUAUGAAGGGAACGUCCACCUGUCAAUGCCUUCAAGCUUGAGGACGAGGUAAAGCUGAACCUAUUCUCGGUCCAGGGCGAAGGAGGAAGUGUCGACUUAGAGGGAAAGUCCAUCACCCUCUCUACCAAACAAGAUGAGCUUCAACAUGUUCACUUUCCUGCCGACGACGCUGACGGUGGUGACGCUGCUGCCUCUGUUGCGUCUCGUCCUGGUGUCCAUCAUGAGGGAGUCCCGCCACGCUGACCAACUUUUCACCAGACCUGAAGCCUUCAACCAUUACUACGACUUUAUUGUGGUGGGUGCAGGAACGGCAGGCAGUGUGGUGGCCUCCAGACUGUCUGAAGUGGCAGGCUGGAGGGUGCUGUUGCUGGAGGCUGGAGGUACCCCGCCCCCAGAGACCUAUGUCCCCGGUCUGGUGGGUCUCAACUAUCUCCGGGGCAACAUCAACUGGGGCUACACUACCGUCCCCCAGAAACACGGACUCAAGAACUUCCAGGAUCGGAGCGCCACCAUCCCCCACGCGCGGGUGUUGGGCGGGGGAUCCACCACCAAUGGGAUGCUGUACGUCCGUGGUAACAGACGAGACUUCGACCAUUGGGCUGCCCUGGGUAACCCCAGCUGGGACUAUCAGAGCGUCCUCUAUUACUUCAAGAAAUUCGAGGACUAUCAAGGUCACAAGACGCCAGAGGCUGAGGAAUACCACGGGAGGGGAGGACCUAUUGGUGUUACUCCUGAAGGAAAAACUGGCAAGCUGGCGAGGGCCUUCCUGCACGGUGGCCUUCAGUUGGGCUACGAUGUCCGCGACCCCAACGGUGAAGAGCAGAUGGGAUUUGCUACAACAGACUAUACAGUGUGUGGGGGAAUUAGAUGUUCCACAGCCUGGGCCUACCUCAGACCUGCAGCCUCCCGCCCCAACCUGCACAUCCUGCACAGUGCCACCGUCCUCAAGAUCCUCUUUAACAAGAACAAGAGGGCGACUGGAGUUGUCUACAGGUACAGAGGCCAGGUGUUGACAGCUCGUGCCAGGCGGGAGGUAAUAGUGUCGGCGGGGGCGCUGGCAUCACCCAAGCUGCUCAUGCUGUCGGGUGUAGGUGCUCAAUACCACCUCGAUGAACACCAUGUGAAGGUGGUGGCAGAUGUACCUGGCGUGGGACAGAACCUACAGGAUCAUCUGGGGGUGUAUGGCUUAGCCUGGACCACCAAGACCAGCUCUCCUAGCAUGGACAACACCUUCACCUUCCCCGCUGUGGCCCAGUAUGUCCACCACAGGAAAGGACCGUGGACAAAGCCUGUGGGAGAAUACGCCAGUGCUUGGGUGAAGACAAGGAACGAUGGCGACCCGUACUACCCAGACGUACAGUUUUAUCUCUCCCCUGCUGUGUUUAGCAUGGACAUGGGGCUCUUCCUCCCUUACAUCUACAACUUUGAUAAAUCGAAAUACUUGGAGUACACUCGUCCACUGUUCAAUCAUCAAGGGUUCACGGUGAAUCUGUUCCUGCUGAGACCCAAGAGUCGCGGGGCGGUGUUCCUCAGGUCCAGAAACCCCUUAGAUCUCCCCAUUAUCGACCCCAACUACCUAAGUCACCCGGAUGACCUACAUGCUCUGGUCAAUGGUAUCAAGGUGCUGAUGGCACUGGGCAACACUACAUCUCUCAGGAAACAGUUCCAGGCCAAGUUCCAUGAUAAGCCGGUGCCUGGGUGUGAGGGGGAAGCCUUCGGGUCCCACAAGUACUGGGCUUGCUACGUCCAGCACAUGGCCUCCUCCUUUUGGCACCCCACCAGCUCGUGUAAAAUGGGACCCUCCUCUGACCCCCUUGCAGUCGUUAACCCCAGACUCAGGGUUCACAGGGUGUCUGGGCUGCGGGUGGUGGACGCUUCAGUCAUGCCCAUCAUCGUGUCCGGCAACACCAACGCUGCAACCCUCAUGAUUGCUGAGAAGGCAUCCGACUUCAUCAAGGAGGACUGGAAUGGCCACGGCUGACACACUGUCUCCCUCACUCCAUUGUGAUCUACUCGGCACAUGUACUGUAUAUAAUUGUAGAUGCUUAUAUUGUAUCAGUGUAUAUAAAGUUUGCUUGAAAGUUUAUUGUAAAUUCUUGAUUUGUACAGAUUUUGAUUAUACAGUACGUAUACUGUAUUUUGAUAUUAGAGAUCAUUGUACUGUAGUAUAAAGCGAUUGCGCUUUGGGAUGUAUUGUAUAUGAUUUAUAAACAUCUCGGAGGUCACUAUUCAGUCAAGUGAUCAUACAUGAACCUGAUGGAAGCCUGCCUUGCUAGGGGGCCACAACUAAAAUUUGAAGAAGCCACAAGUUCAGAAAACUGUUAGGGGCAACUUUUUAUGGAGUGAGUUUUAAACUCUUCGGACAAUCUGCCAGAGAACAUUGUGUUGGCACCGAGUGAAAGUUCAUUCAAAACGAGACUUGACCAACACUGGCACAGACACAUUCUGGAGCCAGUACACGAUCAAUACUUCCUAAAAGUGCUUAACAGAGACGUGAUCGACUGCCCAAGCAUCUAACAAGCCAAUGAGUGGCAAAGAGAAUAAAGUAAAUUAAAGAACAGUAAUAUGAAGUAAUGAUAAAUGCUUGAUUUUUUUGAGUACACUGUAUUGUAUAGUAUACAUAAGCCAUUAUUGCGCUGUACAGUAUGUGACUAUUUUGUACUGGUGUAUAUGAAGUGCUGGGAGAUCAUUGUACAGGUAUAAAUUUAUGGAGGAUAUACUAGACAUAGUACUUUUUUUAUGGGGAAUAGCCCACCUGGGCACAGGUCAUCGACCCACAAUGGCCUGGGAGGCGAAAAAAUAGGAAUAAAAAAAAUUGAGGAGGAUAUGAGUAUGUUAUGUACUGUAGGUGAGAGAGGUGAUGUGUGUUAUUAUGUAGGUGAGAGAGAGAGAGAGAGAGGUGAUUUGUGUUAUUAUGUAGGUGAGAGAGAGAGAGAGAGAGGUGAUGUGUGUUAU